rnacentral:lncRNA from 1 species
GUCUCCUGUUAUUAUCUGCUUGAGUGUUUUUUUUUUUUCAUUUUUUGCAAAUGCAAUAUUUGGUUUUGGCUUGUGGUUGCCCUGUUUUUUAAGUAUGCUAACCCCUUCCCAUAAUUGUGUGUUUUAGCCUGAUGGUCCUGUAAGUUCAAACACUUCAUUACUAUAUUAAAAUUAAGAAGAGAAACAUACAAACAAACAAAAAGGGUUAUUUACUUCCUAACAUCCCUUGCCCACAUUUUAUGGUUUUGAUGACUCUUUUUUAUUUUUUUCUUUUUAAUUUUAUUUUGUUUGAAGCAUGUUCAUGAUUAAAUCUGUAUGCUGGCUUAUUUGAGUGACUGCUCUCUGAUUGCGGUUUCCUCAGUCCUAGUUCUUCCUCUUCUUCUUCUUCUUUUUUUUUUUUUUUUUCUUUUCUUUUUUCUUCCCUUUCCUUCCUUUCUUUUUGGUUUAGAGAAGCCCUUUCAAUAUUUCCUUUAACCUGGGUUUUGUGUUGCUGUAUUCUUUAAGUUUUUGUUUGUUGGGAAAAAUUUUUAUUUCCCCUUCUAUUUUAAAUGAUAUUCUUGCUGGAUAGAGUAUUCUAGGUUGCAUAUUUUUUCCUUUGAGCACUUUAAAUAUCUCUUGCCAUUCCCUCCUGGCCUGUAGUGUUUCUGUAGAGAAAUCAGCUGAUAUUCUUAUGGGGGUUCCCUUGUAGGUAACAUUCUGUUUUUCUCUUGCUGCCUUUAGGAUCCUCUCUUUAUCACUAACUUUUGCCAUUUUUAUUAUGAUGUGUCUUGGUGUGGGUCUGUUUGGGUUCAGUUUGUUUGGGGCCCUCUGUGCUUCUUGUAUCUUGAAUCCAGUAUCCUUUAGAUUUGGGAAGUUUCCAGCGAUAAUUUCUUCAAAUAUAUUUUCCAUUCCCUUAUCUUUUUCUACUCCUUCUGGAAUUCCUAUUAUGCGUAGAUUGGCCCGCUUUAUAUUAUCCCAUAGGUCUCUUAUAUUGCUUUCCAGUUUUUUGAUUCGGUUUUCUGUCUGUUGACCAGAUUGAGUGAUUUCCAUUAUUCUAUCUUCCAUAUCACUGAUUCGUUCUUCUGCAUUAUUCAUUCUGGUUUUUACUGCCCCUAGUUCAGUUUGCAUCUCUGCAAAUGAAUGUUCUAGUUUUUCUUGGCUCCUCCUUAUAUUUUCUAGUUCCUUUCUGAGGGUAUCUGCAUUACUGUUCAUAUCUUCUCUUAAUUCCUUCAGUAUUUUCACUAUUUCUCUUUUGAACUCCAGGUCUGUCUGACUGCAGAGAUCUGUUUCAUUGUUGACUGUUUUAGGUGAGUUCUCCUGUUGGUUUGACUGGGGGUGGUUUCUCAGCUUCUUCAUCUUGCUUGUUGUUUUCUUUCUCCUGAGGGAGUUGUACUCUCCGUUAUCGGGCAGUGUUUGCCUUGUCACUGCCGUGGAAUAUUUCCUGAGGGCUGGCGUUGUUGGUCAAUCUUUUUUGAGGCAGUGUGGCUUUUCUGGAGUGUUGAUGGGGCUAACAGUGUUUCUUUGAAGCAAAGGAGGACUUCCUGAGGGCAGACAGGACUGGGAGGUCCACACCACGAUGGUAGCAGAUUUCACUUGGUCAUGCAGAGCUUGCUCUGGUGUUUUUAGGCUGUGGGGUUCUUGCAGGGGGUUGGCGGUGUUGGGCAGCUGUUCCUCAGGAGUGCAGCACCCCCUGGGGGCUGGAGCAGCUAUCUGGGUCACUGAGAACCUAAGAGGCUCUUCCCUAGGGCAGCCCAACUCAGAAGGACAGCCUGAGAAUGUAGGCGGAUCUUUUCACAGUCUGGCCGAGCUUGUUCUAGCUUUUCUGGGCUGCAGGCCUUUUCUCGGGGGCUGGUGGUGUUUGGUGCUGCUCUGCGGAAGUGUAGCCCCUCCAAAGGGCAAGCAGGCCUGUGCAGGGACAGCCCCUGCGGUGGUAGGCUUCAGGCAAUUGUUGAGGCCAGCCCUCCUGGAUGGCAGGCAGCCCCAGGUUCGGCGAGAGCGUAGGGGGUGGCGGGGGUGGGGGGAGGGAAUGCACUGGGAAGCACAGCUUUCUGCUAGCUAGCGGGCCUGUAAGCUUGCUGUGGCGUGGGGGGUAUUCUAUGGGGACCCACCCCUUCUUCUCUCCCCUCCCCAGCACGGGCGCAGACCAGGCUCUUCUCCCAGGUUCCCUCUGAGGCGGCUUUCCACUUCCCCGCCCCUAGAGUAUUGCUCCCUUCCUCUGCGACAGCUUUGUUUUCUAGUCUCCCAGGCAGUCUCUGCCCCGUCAAAUGGUUUCUAGACCUCCCAAGCAGUUUCCGCUCUGCCCCGCCCCCCUAGCCCGGGGACUAAUCUCUGGAGCCGAGGUCUCGGUGCCCAGCCCCCACCCAGGCGUCUCAAUUUUUGGUGACUGUGCCCGUAGUUCAGAUGGUCCGUUGGGUUCUUGAUCGGCUUUUCCGUACUCCAACUUACUGCUACACUCUUCUCUGCAUCUGGAGAUUCCUCCGGUUCGUUUGAUCUUUCCCCCGGUAGGUGACUUUCCAGGGUGCGGGAUCCCUUUCUCCUCCGCAGUUCCCUUUCGGGAGCGCCCGUCCCGCUCGGAUUCACCUUCUCUCACUCUCCUCUUUUCUCCCGUUCUGCCCAGUAAUGUCACGAACUUCUUGCCGUUAUUGGAGUUUAGGUUUCUCUGCCAGCGAUUGGUUGCUGUUCUGUGCGAGUCAUUUAUUCUGUAGAUGUGCUUUUUUUGUUGUGUUUGUG